rnacentral:rRNA from 1 species
GACGUGGGGGGCCAGCGUUGUUCGGAAUUACUGGGUGUAAAGGGUUCGUAGGCGGUGUGGCAAGUUGGGAGUGAAAUCUCUGGGCUCAACCCAGAGGCUGCUUCCAAAACUGCUGUGCUUGAGUGUGGGAGAGGCGCGUGGAAUUGCAGGUGUAGCGGUGAAAUGCGUAGAUAUCUGCAGGAACACCCGUGGCGAAAGCGGCGCGCUGGACCACAACUGACGCUGAGGAACGAAAGCUAGGGGAGCAAACAGG